AUGCGUAUCUCUCGAGACAUGACUUUUGAUGAGUCUCGUCCCUUCUACCCACGCCCAUCUUCCUUGAUUUUUUCAGUGGAGGAUAUCUCUUUCCUCACUUUUCCUGACUCACCUAUCACCCCCGUCGCCCCUGUGCCUAUUCGUUCCACUCCCUCUGCUUCUCCACCUCUAGUCGAUUUGCAGCCACCAUCUUCUCCGGUCUCCUCGCCUAGCAUGUCACCGGAUUCUACACCUUCAUCUCCGGUGACUUCUUUGUCGCCACCCCCCGAUUCUACCUUGGUGAUUCCUCCUUCUAUUGUUCCAUCUUUUCCUCAGCAUUACACUCGUCGUUCACGACCUGUGGAUGCCUUAUUGGAUGAGUCGUCAUCUUCCUCUCAGCCUACUUAUGGCUUGCGUUCUCGUCCUCUUCCGCCUGUUGAUCGCUUUGGAUUUCCCACCACUGGUGCUGCUGUUCUUGAGCCGACUUCUUAUCGUCAGGCUGUUGUUCAUCCUGAAUGGCAGUUUGCGAUGGCAGAGGAGAUUGCUGCUCUUGAACGCACUGGUACCUAG
rnacentral:rRNA from 1 species